AUGAUCCAUCCACAAUCUUCGUCGCACAUGGCGCCGUUAGCCGACCAGAUCGCCACCGCGUCGUCUCCUCCUGCGUCGACCUCAGAGCCGCCGCCGCCCUCUCCCCUUCCGAGCCCACACUCUUUUAUCUCUUCCUCGCCUCCUCUCCUCCCCUCGCGCCGACACCCACCAUUUCCAUCGGCCAACAACCAUUCCCAUGCCGUCUCUCAUCUCAAGCCGGCGGCUGCUGCUCUCACGAGUGGCAGUUGCAGCCCCGCCCCUCCCCUGCCGUCCAUAGACGGAGACGUAGCAAUGGAGGCAUACGCCACCGGCACGCCACUGACUCGAUCUAGGAGCAGUGAGAACUGCAGCGCCAGAGAGGAUGCCAGGACAAGGACGGAGGAGAAUGAGCUGCACAUUUGGAUGAAGGUCUCAAAUCCUCUAUGGUGCCAUGACAUGGACGUCGUCUUGGCCGCCGGCGUGUUGUCGAAGGAGGUAUUUUUUUCUGGUCCCUUGCUUGGCCCUCUACUAUCUUUGCCUAGAUAUGAUGAUUUUCUAGGGAGAAUGAAAUCAUAUUAUUAA
rnacentral:rRNA from 1 species